AUUUAACCAGGUAGGCUAGUUGAGAACAGGUGGAACAGAUGUUUGUAUUUAAUCAGGCAGGCUAGUUGAGAACAGGUGGAACAGAUGUUUGUAUUUAACCAGGUAGUCUAGUUGAGAACAGGUGGAACAGAUGUUUGUAUUUAACCAGGUAGGCUAGUUGAGAACAGGUGGAACAGACGUUUGUAUUUAACCAGGUAGUCUAGUUGAGAACAGGUGGAACAGACGUUUGUAUUUAACCAGGUAGGUUAGUUGAGAACAGGUGGAACAGACGUUUGUAUUUAACCAGGUAGUCUAGUUGAGAACAGGUGGAACAGACGUUUGUAUUUAACCAGGUAGGUUAGUUGAGAACAGGUGGAACAGACGUUUGUAUUUAACCAGGUAGUCUAGUUGAGAACAGGUGGAACAGACGUUUGUAUUUAACCAGGUAGUCUAGUUGAGAACAGGUGGAACAGAUGUUUGUAUUUAACCAGGUAGUCUAGUUGAGAACAGGUGGAACAGACGUUUGUAUUUAACCAGGUAGGUUAGUUGAGAACAGGUGGAACAGAUGUUUGUAUUUAAUCAGGUAGUCUAGUUGAGAACAGGUGGAACAGACGUUUGUAUUUAACCAGGUAGUCUAGUUGAGAACAGGUGGAACAGAUGUUUGUAUUUAACCAGGUAGUCUAGUUGAGAACAGGUGGAACAGAUGUUUUUAUUUAACCAGGUAGGUUAGUUGAGAACAGGUGGAACAGAUGUUUGUAUUUAACCAGGUAGUCUAGUU